UACGGAGGAUGCGAGCGUUAUCCGGAUUUAUUGGGUUUAAAGGGAGCGUAGACGGCCGUUUAAGUCAGCUGUGAAAUCCUGCGGCUUAACCGCAGGGCUGCCUUCUAAACUGUCAGGCUGGAGCACAGUAGAGGCAGGUGGAAUUCCCGGUGUAGCGGUGGAAUGCGUAGAGAUCGGGAAGAACAUCAGUGGCGAAGGCGGCCUGCUGGGCUGUUGCUGACGCUGAGGCGCGACAGCGUGGGGAGCAAACAGG
rnacentral:rRNA from 1 species